rnacentral:tRNA from 1 species
GGGGGUAUAGCUCAGUUGGCUAGAGCGCGUGACUGGCAGUCACGAGGUCAGGUGUUCGAUUCCCCUUAUCUCCACCU